rnacentral:rRNA from 1 species
GGUUAGCCGCAAGGCGAAGCUUUGAACCCAAGCCCCGGUAAACGGCGGCGGUAACUAUAACCGUCCUAAGGUAGCGAAAUUCCUUGUCGGGUAAGUUCCGACCUGCACGAAUGGCGCAACGACUUGGGCGCUGUCUCAACGAGGGAUCCGGUGAAAUUGUAGUCUCGGUGAAGAUGCCGAGUACCCGUGGCUGGACGGAAAGACCCCGUGAACCUUUACUGCAGCUUGACGUUGGAGUUUGGGAUAUAUCGUCCAGGAUAGGUGGGAGGCUUUGAAGCGGGGGCGCUAGCUCUCGUGGAGCCAAUCUUGGGAUACCACCCUUUGUGUUCUGGGCUUCUAACUCGAUGCCGUUAUCCGGGUCGGGAACAGCGUCAGGUGGGCAGUUUGACUGGGGCGGUCGCCUCCUAAAAUGUAACGGAGGCGCGCAAAGGUUCCCUCAGCACGGUUGGAAAUCGUGCGUAGAGUGCAAAAGCAUAAGGGAGCUUGACUGCGAGACUGACAAGUCGAGCAGGUGCGAAAGCAGGCUUUAGUGAUCCGGCGGUAGAGAGUGGAAUUGCCGUCGCUCAACGGAUAAAAGGUACUCCGGGGAUAACAGGCUUAUCGCUCCCAAGCGUCCACAGCGACGGAGCGGUUUGGCACCUCGAUGUCGGCUCGUCGCAUCCUGGGGGUGUAGUCGCUCCCAAGGGUUGGGCUGUUCGCCCAUUAAAGCGGUACGCGAGCUGGGUUCAGAACGUCGUGAGACAGUUCGGUCCCUAUCCGCCAUGGGCGUUGGGAACUUGAGAGGAGUCGUCUCUAGUACGAGAGGACCGAGAUGAACAGACCUCUGGUGUAUCAGUCGUCGUGCCAACGGCGUUGCUGAUUAGCUACGUCUGGAAGGGAUAACCGCUGAAAGCAUCUAAGCGGGAAGCCCACCUCGAGAUGAGGUUCCCCAUCCUCUAGAAGGAGUAAGGGCCGUGGGAGACCACCACGUUGAUAGGCGGGACGUGUAAGCACAGCAAUGUGUUCAGCGGACCCGUACUAAUUGCCCGAGGUCUUGACUUG